UACGAAGGGGGCUAGCGUUGCUCGGAAUCACUGGGCGUAAAGCGCACGUAGGCGGCUUUUUAAGUCAGGGGUGAAAUCCUGGAGCUCAACUCCAGAACUGCCUUUGAUACUGAGAAGCUUGAGUCCGGGAGAGGUGAGUGGAACUGCGAGUGUAGAGGUGAAAUUCGUAGAUAUUCGCAAGAACACCAGUGGCGAAGGCGGCUCACUGGCCCGGUACUGACGCUGAGGUGCGGAAGCGUGGGGAGCAAACAGG
rnacentral:rRNA from 1 species